UUCGCAGGUGGUCCUUUAAGUCAGGUGUGAAAGGCAGUGGCUCAACCAUUGCAAGCACUUGAAACUGGAGGACUUGAGUGCAGGAGAGGAAAGCGGAAUUCCUAGUGUAGCGGUGAAAUGCGUAGAUAUUAGGAGGAACACCAGUGGCGAAGGCGGCUUUCUGGACUGUAACUGACACUGAGGAACGAAAGCGUGGGGAGCAAACA
rnacentral:rRNA from 1 species